rnacentral:lncRNA from 1 species
ACUGUCACCACCGCAAGAUCCUGCACCGGGACCUGAAGCCCCAGAACCUGCUCAUCAACGAGAGGGGGGAGCUGAAGCUGGCCGACUUUGGACUGGCCAGGGCCAAGUCAGUGCCCACAAAGACUUACUCCAAUGAGGUGGUGACCCUGUGGUACAGGCCCCCCGAUGUGCUGCUGGGAUCCACAGAGUACUCCACCCCCAUUGAUAUGUGUGGGGCACACAGUGGAGAGAGUUUGAGACAACACUGCUGAGAGAAUUGCCACAUGGGCGCUGGCUGCACAGACCCAAACCUCACAGAGUGAAAGGGGACUUUCCUCACAGAGUGAAAGUCGCAGCUUUCCCGAGCCCAGGGAAGCCCCCCAGAGAGGGGCUGUAGUGGGGGCUGGGCAGUUCUAGGAGCCUCCACUGCCCUGGGCCACCCCUCCGCCGCCAGAGCCACGAUCCCUGCAGCCGCCUGUGGCAGGUCGUCAUUGGUGCCCUGGUGGAGCAGCCCUAGGAAGGGCGGCCGCCCCUGCCUGAUGCCGACCCUACCCCUUGCUCCUC